rnacentral:rRNA from 1 species
AGUACCGAAUCUAUGGAUUUGUGCAGAAAUGUAUAAGUGGUAGGGGAGCGUUCCAAACAGCAUAGAAGGCAUACCGUAAGGAGUGCUGGAGCGUUUGGAAGUGAGAAUGCCGGUGUGAGUAGCGAGAUGCAGGUGAGAAUCCUGCACACCGAUAGACCAAGGUUUCCAGGGGAAGGUUCGUCCGCCCUGGGUAAGUCGGGACCUAAGACGAGGCAGAAAUGCGUAGCCGAUGGACAACUGGUUUAUAUUCCAGUACCCGCGAUACAACUGAAGGAGUGACGGAAAAGGUUACCUCGAGCCCUUAAUGGAUUGGGCAGGACAGAGAGGAGCAGGCAGCAGGCAAAUCCGCUGCAGGAUGCAGAGCUCUGGACCGAAUGAACGAGCGAUCAAGUAGUGAAGAGAGAGAUACCAGUUCCCGAGAAAAGCUUCUAAGGCUAAUUGUAUAGCGGCCCGUACCAAAACCGACACAGGUGGUCAAGGCGAGUAGCCUGAGGUGAGCGAGAGAACUGUUGCCAAGGAACUCGGCAAACUGACCCCGUACGUUAGCAAUAAGGGGUGCUCGAAAGAGCCGCAGUGAAUAGGCCCUAGCAACUGUUUAACUAAAACAUAGCUCUCUGCCAAGCCGCAAGGCGAAGUAUAGGGGGUGACACCUGCCCGGUGCUGGAAGGUCAAGGGGAUUUGUCAGCGCAAGCGAAGCAUUGAACCGAAGCCCCAGUGAACGGCGGCCGUAACUAUAACGGUCCUAAGGUAGCGAAAUUCCUUGUCAGGUAAGUUCUGACCCGCACGAAAGGUGUAAUGAUUUGGGCACUGUCUCGGCAGCAGACUCGGUGAAAUCUUAGUACCUGUGAAGAUGCAGGUUACCCGCAACUAGACGGAAAGACCCCAUGGAGCUUUACUGCAGUCUGCUAUUGAGUUUCGGUUGGAUAUGCACAGGAUAGGUGGGAGACGAUGAGACGUGGAUUUCGGUCUACGAGGAGUCACUGUUGGGAUACCACUCUUAUUCAACUGGAAUUCUAACUGAUAUCCGUGAUCCGGAUACAGGACCGUGGCAGAUGGGCAGUUUGACUGGGGCGGUCGCCUCCCAAAGAGUAACGGAGGCGCACAAAGGUACUCUCAGAAUGGUUGGAAAUCAUUCAGCGAGCGCAAACGCAGAAGAGUGCUUGACUGCGAGACAUACAGGUCGAGCAGGGACGAAAGUCGGUGUUAGUGAUCCGGCGGUGCAGAAUGGAAUGGCCGUCGCUUAACGGAUAAAAGCUACCCUGGGGAUAACAGGCUGAUCUCGCCCAAGAGUUCACAUCGACGGCGAGGUUUGGCACCUCGAUGUCGGCUCAUCGCAUCCUGGAGGUGAAUUCGCUUCCAAGGGUUGGGCUGUCCGCCCAUUAAAGCGGUACGCGAGCUGGGUUCAGAACGUCGUGAGACAGUUCGGUC